ACUCUGAACUAUCAGGAGUUGUAUAUUAGUGAAGAACCGCAAUUUAGUCAGGUUCAUAUGCUGCCCUAUCCUAUGUUGGUGAACGUGGAUGGAACUGUUGAGAAUCUUCCAGGUUGGGAGAUGUUCCCUGAUACCAGUGCACCUGUAUUCGGAGUCAAGAGUUCCCUCCCCAACCAUUCUAACUAUAUAACUACAUAGUACAACCUUUAAAGGGACUGUCAUCGGUAUUUCAUUCGACCCUCCAAGCAAAGAUUGAAAUGUCGGAUUCACAACGGCACUCUUAUCUGAUCAAUAAUGUUGAAGAUAUUGUUGUUUAUCUAGGUUAAAAGUGUUUAAUAAAAGUCACUUUUGUACUGAAACCACAAGCAAAAAUAAAUAAGCAAAAUUUCAAACAUUGAUAAAUAAUUCAUACUUAAUCAAACAAAGCUUUCAUUAAGGGA